rnacentral:rRNA from 1 species
AUUGAACGCUGGCGGAAUGCUUUACACAUGCAAGUCGAACGGCAGCACGGGGGCAACCCUGGUGGCGAGUGGCGAACGGGUGAGUAAUACAACGGAACGUGCCCAGUCGUGGGGGAUAACGUAGCGAAAGUUACGCUAAUACCACAUACGAUCUACGGAUGAAAGCGGGGGACCGUAAGGCCUCGCGCGAUUGGAGCGGCCGGUGUCAGAUUAGGUAGUUGGUGAGGUAAAGGCACACCAAGCAGACGAUGUGUAGCUGGUCGGAGAGGACGACCAGCCACACUGGGACGGAGACACGGCCCAGACUCCUACGGGAGGCAGCAGUGGGGAAUAUUGGACAAUGGGCGCAAGCCUGAUCCAGCCAUUCCGCGUGCAGGACGAAGGCCUUCGGGUUGUAAACUGCUUUUGUACGGAACGAGAAGGCUCUGGUUAAUACCUGGGGCUCAUGACGGUACCGUAAGAAUAAGCACCGGCUAACUACGUGCCAGCCGCCGCAGUAA